rnacentral:rRNA from 1 species
CCUACGGGAGGCAGCAGUGAGGAAUAUUGGUCAAUGGACGAGAGUCUGAACCAGCCAAGUAGCGUGAAGGAUGACUGUCCUAUGGGUUGUAAACUUCUUUUAUAUGGGAAUAAAAUGUUCCACGUGUGGGAUUUUGUAUGUACCAUAUGAAUAAGGAUCGGCUAACUCCGUGCCAGCAGCCGCGGUAAUACGGAGGAUCCGAGCGUUAUCCGGAUUUAUUGGGUUUAAAGGGAGCGUAGGUGGAUUGUUAAGUCAGUUGUGAAAGUUUGCGGCUCAACCGUAAAAUUGCAGUUGAAACUGGCAGUCUGGAGUACAGUAGAGGUGUGCGGAAUUCGUGGUGUAGCGGUGAAAUGCUUAGAUAUCACGAAGAACUCCGAUUGCGAAGGCAGCUCACUGGACUGCAACUGACACUGAGGCUCGAAAGUGUGGGUAUCAAACAGGAUUAGAUACCCCAGUAGUC